GGAAUACUGAAUUGUUUAAUAUUCAUUAGAUCUAAUUGCACUACACGUUACACUAACUGUAGUGCACGGUCACGAUCAAAAGUACAUUGCACUGUAAGAAGAUAAAUUGUUGGACUUUAGUUAAGUUAAAGUUGACCAAAUCUUUAAGGUUCGCAACUCAAAAAGGCGAUUCUGUAAGGAGGUCCGAAAUAACAACUUCGUCCAACAAGCUUAAAGAUUUGACACAAAAGAAUGCCUGAAACUGACCGCUUUGACUGCAAGCUCUGCAGUAGAUCGAACAA